GAUGAACGCUGGCGGCGUGCUUAACACAUGCAAGUCGAACGGUGAAGGCGGAGCUUGCUCUGCUGGAUCAGUGGCGAACGGGUGAGUAACACGUGAGCAAUCUGCCCCCGACUCUGGGAUAAGCGCUGGAAACGGCGUCUAAUACUGGAUACGAGCUGCGAAGGCAUCUUCAGCAGCUGGAAAGAACUUCGGUCAGGGAUGAGCUCGCGGCCUAUCAGCUUGUUGGUGAGGUAACGGCUCACCAAGGCGUCGACGGGUAGCCGGCCUGAGAGGGUGACCGGCCACACUGGGACUGAGACACGGCCCAGACUCCUACGGGAGGCAGCAGUGGGGAAUAUUGCACAAUGGGCGAAAGCCUGAUGCAGCAACGCCGCGUGAGGGACGACGGCCUUCGGGUUGUAAACCUCUUUUAGCAGGGAAGAAGCGAAAGUGACGGUACCUGCAGAAAAAGCGCCGGCUAACUACGUG
rnacentral:rRNA from 1 species